CGCGUAGGCGGCUCGGUAAGUCUGGAGUGAAAGUCCUGCUUUUAAGGUGGGAAUUGCUUUGGAUACUGUCGGGCUUGAGUGCAGGAGAGGUUAGUGGAAUUCCCAGUGUAGCGGUGAAAUGCGUAGAGAUUGGGAGGAACACCAGUGGCGAAGGCGACUAACUGGACUGUAACUGACGCUGAGGCGCGAAAGUGUGGGGAGCAAAC
rnacentral:rRNA from 1 species